GGAUACGGCCAGACUGAAUCUGAAUCUGAAUACACCCGAUCUCGUUCGAUCUCGGAUGUUAAGUAAUUGCAGGUCCCGUUAGAAUAUACUUGGAUGGAUGACCGCCUGGGAAACCCCGGUGCCCUAUCCU
rnacentral:rRNA from 1 species